GGGACAGGCAGCAGUGAAUGAAAUAUUAAACGGUUGUUGCUGCACUCUUGGUGGUCUCUGUGGGCAUAGCAUCCGCUGGUCUCGUCAGCGCUCCACAAAAUGCAGACAUCAACAGUCAAGAUGUUCAAGAUGCCUUGCAGUUUGCUGUACAACAGUACAACAAAGUCAACCAAGAUGUGUACCUGGAAAACCCCAUGAAUGCACACUUGCCGUAAUGGUCUAUUUCUGUAGAAUAAAUACAAUAAAAAUUAAAAAUAAAAUAAUUUUAACCUGC